CAGUCGCCGCGGUAAUACGAAGGGGGCUAGCGUUGCUCGGAAUUACUGGGCGUAAAGGGAGCGUAGGCGGACAUUUAAGUCAGGGGUGAAAUCCCAGAGCUCAACUCUGGAACUGCCUUUGAUACUGGGUAUCUUGAGUAUGGAAGAGGUGAGUGGAAUUCCGAGUGUAGAGGUGAAAUUCGUAGAUAUUCGGAGGAACACCAGUGGCGAAGGCGGCUCACUGGUCCAUUACUGACGCUGAGGUGCGAAAGCGUGGGGAGCAAACAGGAUUAGAUACCCGCGUAGUCCCUGUCUCUUAUAC
rnacentral:rRNA from 1 species